rnacentral:rRNA from 1 species
GUGAGGAAUAUUGGUCAAUGGGCGGGAGCCUGAACCAGCCAAGUCGCGUGAAGGAAGAAGGAUCUAUGGUUCGUAAACUUCUUUUGCAGGGGAAUAAAGUGCAGGACGUGUCCUGUUUUGUAUGUACCCUGAGAAUAAGGAUCGGCUAACUCCGUGCCAGCAGCCGCGGUAAUACGGAGGAUCCGAGCGUUAUCCGGAUUUAUUGGGUUUAAAGGGUGCGUAGGUGGUUUGAUAAGUCAGCGGUGAAAGGUUGCAGCUUAACUGUAAAAAUGCCGUUGAAACUGUCGGACUUGAGUGUAAAUGAGGUAGGCGGAAUGCGUGGUGUAGCGGUGAAAUGCAUAGAUAUCACGCAGAACUCCGAUUGCGAAGGCAGCUUACUAAGCUACAACUGACACUGAAGCACGAAAGCGUGGGGAUCAAACAGGAUUAGAAACCCUGGUAGUCC